rnacentral:rRNA from 1 species
GACGAACGCUGGCGGCGUGCUUAACACAUGCAAGUCGAGCGGGGAUACGAGGGAGCUUGCUCCUGAGUAUUCUAGCGGCGGACGAGUGAGUAACGCGUGAGCAACCUUUCCUUCAGUGGGGAAUAACACAGGGAAACUUGUACUAAUACCGCAUGAGACCACGGUACCGCAUGGUAGAGGGGUCAAAGAUUAAUCGCUGAAGGGUGGGCUCGCGUCCGAUUAGCUGGUUGGUGGGGUAACGGCCUACCAAGGCGACGAUCAGUAGCCGGCUUGAGAGAGUGAACGGCCACAUUGGGACUGAGACACGGCCCAAACUCCUACGGGAGGCAGCAGUGGGGAAUAUUGCACAAUGGGGGAAACCCUGAUGCAGCGACGCCGCGUGAGUGAAGAAGUAUUUCGGUAUGUAAAGCUCUAUCAGCAGGGAAGAUAAUGACGGUACCUGACUAAGAAGCCCCGGCUAACUACGUG